UACAGAGGUCUCGAGCGUUGUUCGGAUUCAUUGGGCGUAAAGGGUGUGUAGGUGGCGCCGUAAGUCGGGUGUGAAAUUUCGGAGCUUAACUCCGAAACUGCAUUCGAUACUGCGGUGCUUGAGGACUGGAGAGGAGACUGGAAUUCAUGGUGUAGCAGUGAAAUGCGUAGAGAUCAUGAGGAAGACCAGUGGCGAAGGCGGGUCUCUGGACAGUUCCUGACACUGAGGCACGAAGGCCAGGGGAGCAAACGGG
rnacentral:rRNA from 1 species